GAGUUUGAUCGUGGCUCAGAUUGAACGCUGGCGGCAGGCCUAACACAUGCAAGUCGAGCGGAUGACGGGAGCUUGCUCCUUGAUUCAGCGGCGGACGGGUGAGUAAUGCCUAGGAAUCUGCCUGGUAGUGGGGGACAACGUUUCGAAAGGAACGCUAAUACCGCAUACGUCCUACGGGAGAAAGCAGGGGACCUUCGGGCCUUGCGCUAUCAGAUGAGCCUAGGUCGGAUUAGCUAGUUGGUGGGGUAAUGGCUCACCAAGGCGACGAUCCGUAACUGGUCUGAGAGGAUGAUCAGUCACACUGGAACUGAGACACGGUCCAGACUCCUACGGGAGGCAGCAGUGGGGAAUAUUGGACAAUGGGCGAAAGCCUGAUCCAGCCAUGCCGCGUGUGUGAAGAAGGUCUUCGGAUUGUAAAGCACUUUAAGUUGGGAGGAAGGGCAGUAAGUUAAUACCUUGCUGUUUUGACGUUACCGACAGAAUAAGUACCGGCUAACUCUGUGCCAGCCGCCGC
rnacentral:rRNA from 1 species